rnacentral:lncRNA from 1 species
CAUGAUCCUACAUUUCAGAAAAUAGGUGUCAAAAACCCAUCACUAGUACCAAAAGUCGGCCAUAUCUCGGAACUGCAAAGUACAAGGCAAGGCUACAAGAUUUUCACGCGUGCUUAUGGUUUCUUCCUGAAGUCCAGCCUCCACGGAGGUGUUCUCACAAAUUUUCUUCCCUAGCCACAUUAAACUCCAAUACAACUUUUCUCGUUUGUAGGGCUGCAGUUUUUCUGCAUCAGAAGCAAAUGUAAGUCAUGGGCUUUCUCAGUCAACCCAACUUCUGUAAAUGCACUCAAAAUCCUAUUACAGGUAGAGAUAUCAAAGUCUGUGGUGUUAGACUGCUUCCAUUGAUCAAUAACCUCUCCCACUUCUUUGGAAUGCCCAAGAAUCAGAUAUGAAGACGAAAUGCAUAUGUAAUUUCUGCUUGUCAUUUUCUGUUUGGUCAUUCUUAGCGAUUUCCACAUCUGAUCAAUUUUAUCUUUGUUUCCCAAGCCAGCAUACAGCAUAACAAGGAAGUCAUAAGUUAUCCAUUCCCUUUGUGUGAUGCCUUUCUCUGUUUCAAUACGAGAGCUGGACUCAGCAUUUGCAAGACGGCUAGCGUUAACAUAAACAGUUAUGAGGCUAAUAUAUCUCACCCAACCAUCAUUGCAACCAGAGUCGCAUCUCAUUUCAUCCAGAAUCCUUUUAACUUGAUCAAUGUUUAGAGCCGCAGCACAUGAACUUAUCCAAAGAUUGUAAGUAAAGAUAUCUGGUGCGACCUUAUGUCUUUUCAGUUCUUCUACGACCAAAGAAACCUUCUGCAGCUGCCCAAUUGACAUGUAAAGAGUCAUAAUCUCAUUGUACGUAAGGGCAGAGAAUGGCAAGGCCAACCCCUUUAUCCUCUCAAAAAGUUCUUCUGCCUUUUCAGUCAAUUUUGCAGCUGCAUAACAAUGGAGAAGAGCAGUGUAUGUUUCACUAGUCUUUGCAGUCGGAGGCAAGUCUUCAAAAUAGCGUUCAGCAGCAUCAAUACCAAAAACUUUUGUCAUCAAGUCAAUACGAAUUGCAUAGUCAGAAUCUGAUAACUUGUACUCUUCAUGAGUAACCAUCCAUUCUGAUAUCUGCAAGCUUGAAUUGAUAAGUUCAAAGAAUUCACCAUCAAUUGUAUCUGUGAAACUAAGGGCUGUACAAACUGUAAGGCAUGAAGUUUUCAUACAGAUGCAACAUGAAACUUUGUUUCUGAUAUUCCUCCCUUUGAAUGCAAAAUAUCAACUAAAAGUUAUUACCAAAAAGACAGAAAAGAAAAGAAACUACCCAGCUGUUCCAAGUGCAACUCAAGCUAUAAUGAAAUUCAAAGAAAACAGGAAAAAGAGAUUGAGUUUGCCUAGGCACAUGAAGAUGUAGGACCUUUUUAUUUCACACUCCCAAAGAAGUCUUGCUAAUCAUAAUGCAAAUUAUAAAAUUCCCAUCAUGAUCAACUUUCAAUUUACGUCCUCUUAUAACAGAAAAAACAGCAGAAGCAACAAAGUGUGAUAUGAUAUUAAUCAAUUUAACUUAGUUGGAGCUGAAGGUGGGAGUGAAAUGCAAGUUCUCCCAUUACAUUAGAUCAGAGAAAGUGACCAAGUGCAAAACAAAAUAGGUAAAUAGAGACUUCACAAGCAAGCCUGCAAAUAGAGAAGACAAAAUCUUAAUACCUAGAGAAGACAGCAUUCACUUAUUCAUUGCUGACAUGACAAGAAACUCCAGUGCUGUGGUAUGGCCAAACACCCAAGCUAGCCAAAUGGCGAACUUAAUGAGUUGAUUUGAUCUUACACAGUAAAAGAUUAACCGAAUAUACAUUAAGAAAUUCUCUCUUCCGUUUUGUGUUUAUCCACAGAUACAAAAUUUUCAUGUUCCUUAUAUCAAUUCCUUUCUACAUUAGACCAUUCCCUACUUGAUAACAUUCCUAACCAAUCCUAUGACCCCAAUUGGCCAAUUCAAACUAAUGGAACCUAAACAAUUUAACUGAUUCUUCAAAUAAAUUACACCAAUCAAGCAUUACACCUCUAAUGAAACAGUUGAUAAAACAAAAAAAUUUCAUCCAGGAAUAUCAAACUAAAUAAGUAUUACUGCCAGUUUUUAAGGUAAAACAAAGCCACCCUAGCACAUAAAAAUCUCAACUUCACUCUAAUUGACUUUAAUUAUUAAAAUAUGGAAAAUAUCUUUGAAAAGAGAGAAGCGAGAGUACCUCGAGAGCGUGCCUGAAACGCUGGGAUUUCCUCAGUUCCUUCGAGAUUUGGCGGAGGUCGGAAAUGGAAACUCGGUUGCCCUCACCGACCCAUUUCUCGAUUACGGUAGUGGCGCUCCGCUUCGGAAGACGCAGCCGAAAAAUGCGGCUUUUCAGAUCAUCGGUUUCCGAAUUAUUCAAAUAUUCGUCCACGUAUUCGGUGCUGGCGGCGCCCUUGACAACAGCCUUGACAAACUGCAGUUGCUGCUUCUCCUGCAUAUAUAUAUUUCACAAUUUUGAAAAAUUAAUCUUUGGGAAACAAAAGACCAACCAACUUAAAGAAUGCUACGGAGACUUGUAAUGGGUUCAGUUUAAAAAAUUUCUCCCCUCUUUUUUUUGGUUUAAAUUGAGAAAGUAUGAUAGUAAUAAAGAUAACUACCGUCUGAGACUGAGAAAGAGGGAGCGCAACGCCAUUGAAAUUGAUAGAGCUCUCUCUAUAGCUUGUCAAGUUUUUUUUUUUUUUUUUUUUCUCGAGUAUAGCUUAGCCAAGAUCUUUGGUUAGCUACACUGGCAACUUGGGCUGUGUUUCGUUGGACUUGCCUUUUGGUGCUUAUCUCAUUCCUCAUUUUUGUGUAAUGAAGUGCAAAAAUUUAUAAAUUAUUUAAAAAUAUAAGUAAGUUUUUAUAUUUUUAUUAUAUUUAAUCAAAUUUUUAUAUUUUUAUUUUAAAUCGAAUAAAUUGUUCAAUUUUAACUCAAAAUGUUAUUGUUAUUUUUUAUCGUAUGACAUUAAUAUGGCAUGUUAAUAUAUUAUAAUUGAUAAUUAUGUAGUAUAUUAAUAUAUCAUAACUGAUGAUUACGUGACAUAUUAAUUUGAUAUGAUAACAUUAUCAUUAGAUUUUUUUAACCUUACACAUCAACGUUAUGUCAGUACCGUGUGAAUAUAAAAUGAUCAAUGGUAUUGUUUCCUAUUUAUUUGCAGACAAUUUAGGCAUAUUAUGACCUAGGAUGAUGUAAUAAUUUUAUCUUUUCCUUUAUAUAUAUAUAUAUAUAUAUAUAUAUAUAUAUAUAAAAACUAAUGUUAAUUAAUCAAUCAUUAGUUAUAAAAGUUUAUUUGAUACAAAAUAAAAAUAUAAGAUAUUAACACAAACUUCAAUGAUCUGAACACAGCCAUUAAUAAUGUAAAUUUUUAUUUUAGUUUUUUCCUAUUUUUGUUUGAUAUGUCUUUUUUCCCCUUUAUAACUCAAUUAAAGAUAAGUGUAUAUAUUUUUAACUCAAUUUCCUUUCUAAAAUCUUUUUAUUUGUAAAUUAUAAAAACAACAUACAUAUAUCAAAAUAUUCGAAUAACACUUUAAGAUUUUUUUAUUUAUAACUAUUAUAACCACUUAUCAUACUUUAACAGCAUUCUAACUUAAUCACCCGAAAUUAUUGUUAACUUUCUUCUAACCAAUUUCCGUUACACCAUAGAUUAAUGCUUCCCUGAUUCACAACAAAAGUAAUUAGCAACAAUCUAGUGUUAUAUCAAAUAUCCCAAGCAUUUUAACUUUCAUGUCAUUCCUCUCAAAAUGUGACUUUCAAAGUUAUCAAAAAUCGUAAAAAAUUCAAAAUAUACAUAGGACAUUGUAAACGGGUUCUUUUGUAAUAAAGAAAGAGGUAGUGUACCAAAUAAGUAAAACAAAUGUGUUGGGAGGUGAUGGGAAAAAAGAUUUAGAGCAAUACUUGAAGCAAUGCAUAUUGUGAUGGAGAGAGAGAUCAUCUCCAUCAUCUGCUUGGUGUUGUCUUUCAAUAUUUGCAUCCUCUCUUGAUAAGCUUAGAGCAUUUUCAUCGAGUCUUGGAAAUAGGUGAGAGUAAAUGCACCUUGGUUGCUAAUGAAAUUUUUUAUAUCUUCUAAUGGUGCAAUGUUUUUUUAAUGAGGUUUUACUUAACAUGGGUGUUCUUUUUUAGUAAAUUUGACAAAAUAUAGAUGAUGUAAUAAAGAGAGAGAUAAUAUUACAAACAAGUAAAAUGAAUGUAUUGAUAAACAUCAGUGAAAAAGAUUGGAGCAGUCUUUUAAUAUAUGAAUGUUGUGUCAAGUGGUGAUGGACAAAGUGUGGAGAAUACGGAGAUCGUGGAACAAGGUGAAGGAUGAAGUAGGGGAAGUCAUAAGUAGAAAAAAAUUUGAGUGAGAGAGAAUAAGCCCAAAGUUCCUUUGGAAUAUAAUUGUCAAAGCUUUAAUAUAUAGACCUAGUAGGACUAGUUACAAAAAAGUGCACUUAAUGCAUGUAUACCUAUCAAAAUGGACCUGAUCCAUUAGACUAGUCCAUUUUUCAUAAAAUAUGAAAUGAGUUGGGCUUAAAAAUUUAGAUUCAUAUUAAAAUUAGACCUAAAUGGGUUAGCCUAUCAAAUCAGAGGGUUGGGGUGGGUUGAGGUGAGCCAGCCCUAUGGGUCAAAAAAAUUAAUAAUUUUAAUUAAUUUAAUAAUUUUAUAUAUUUAAUUAUAUAAAAUUAAUAAUUUAAUUAUCAAUAAUAUUACUUAUUUUAUAUAUUUUAAUGUGUUUAAUCUUCACUUAUCAAAUUAAUAAUUUUAAUUUAUGAAUUAAAUUAUAAAAUAAUUUUAUUAAUAAAAAUUUUAUUAAGUGAAAUUAUAAAAAUAAUUUAAAAAAAAAAAUGAGUUGACCCAACCAUUUUAUGGGUUAACAAAAGGUGAAUUGGGUUGAGGUUUUGAUUGUCCAUAUAAAAAAUGGGUUGACUCGACUCAACUCAACUCAUAUUUUCUUAACCCACAAAUAUUUGGGCCGGGCCGGACCAAGUCAGCCCAUAUUGACAGCAGUGAACGCACGUAAUGGGAGAAACACGUUACCUCCAUUAUGUAUAGUGGAGUAAUGAUUUUUUUUUUUUCUAAUAAACGGUUAGCUAAUUAAUGGCAUAUUGAGGAGUUGGUCACUUGCUCUUGAGGGAAGAGGAAAAGAGAAAGACAUUCGUACUGCACGGAAAAAUUAAGAGGAAGAUUUUUUACCUACUUUCACAUUGGAAUUAUAAAAUUAAAUUUUUAAAAAUAUUCAAAAAGUGAAAUUAUUCCGUAAAUCCUAUUACUAGUUUUGAUUACUUUCAUUGUUGUCCAUAGUAAUAUAACUGUUCUACUCAUUCUAAUAGUUCUCAUUCAUUGUUUAUCGUAUAACAGUAUGAUUGUUGAGAUAUAAAUUUUAUAUAAUAUUAUACAAAGAUAAUGAUUUAAUAGCCACAGCAUCUAGAGUUGUGGUUCAGAAGCUUAAACUAUGCUUGAAAUAUGCAAGCAAAGAUACAGACAAGUACUUUCAUUUGAAUUCAAUGAAGUACAUACUAGGCCAUUGCUCUUUCUGAAGCUUGAUUUUUCUUGUUUUUUUGGAGCUCACCAUAGAAGUAAGACAGAGAUCCCCAAAGAGAUAACACAACGGAUAUAGCUUUUUCAACUUGGAACUUUUCAUGGAAGAACAAUACAGCCAAAGAUUCUGUCACCGGAAGCAGAGCUGCAAUUAUUAUGCCAGACAGCAGUGAGGACCCAGAGAAAAUUACUCCGACAGCUCCCAUGAAAAAGAACUGCCAUAAGAUUGCACUCAACAGGAUUACCAGAUAGUAUGUUGAUUGCCCUAGCUCAAAUUUACUUGCCUCUCUUGGAAUUGCCUACAAUGUGCAAGAAGUUGUUAAGAACUAGCAUCCGUGAUAUCAAACUUAACAAGUUUUUAAGGGGAGUCUAGUAGAUUCCCCUGUUUUUGAUAGCAAUACGACAUAACACCACUUUGAAUGGUGCAAAUAUAGGGGAGUGAGUGUGGUGGACUAUUUGAUAGAAGGAAUGAGAUAUGACCUCAAAUUCUUUGUGAAAAAGCAUCCCAAUGGUGCAGAAAACUGUAGCUGAAAAUGACAUAACCAUUUGCAUCUCCAUCACCAAAGAGUAAGUAAUAGUCUGCUUUGCUUUCUUGUAUGUUAACUCAAUCGCCGGUAACACAAAUCCAUAAAGCAUUGAAGCUGCAAGUGUCAUAAAAAAUCCCAAGUAAUAUUGUCGGUUGGAUUCAUUUGCUGGGCGAUCUGAACUUGUAUGAAGUGCAAGAACCACUGCUCCGACAGUCAACAAAAAAACCGAGUUAAUGGUAAAAGAUGUGAACUUCUGCUUGACCAAUAAAAAGGCGAAUGCAGCGGUAAAGGCCAAUUGGGUUGAAAUUAUCAGAGCUGAGGUAGAGACAGGGAGGCGAGCAACACCAUAAGCAUACAAAAAGUCAUCCACGCCAGUAAGAAGGCCUACAACAGCACUAACCAGAAACAAAGGAGGUUUAAUGAAGAAAAGCUCGGUCGCAGGGCCUUCCUUUCUUCGACGAUACAAGUAUGAAAAUGUGAGAGGCAUUACCAUAAAUGGCCAGCCAGCAGUUUCUAAACAGCUUGAUGUCCAAACUCCCUUACCACCUUUCAAGAAGUAGAGCCUCAUUAUAAGGGGGCCACCAACAUUUCCCAAGGCUAACAGUGCGCAAUUCAACACCAGCAAGGAUCUCUUCAAGCCUUUGCUCAUCUUCUCCUCUUUGUAGGGCAUUUGGUCGUUGCUAGUGCGAGUAUCCAUCUUUAGACUAGUGUUUAUGUUCCACAAGAUUUUGCAUAAGAAAGAUUGUGAGAGUUUAAAUCGUUUAUAGCAAGUAAAACAACGUUGAUAUACCAAGACAUGAAGGCAAUUUAUAAAAUAAGUUGUACCAUGAAUUCCCUUUCUCAACUUAGGGAGCGAUUUUAGUAAGCAAGAAUCAAUAUUUAAUCUAUACAUGCAAUCAUUGAUAGAGUUAACUAAAUGAAAUUAUGCUGUAUCCGAAUAUUUAGCUUAUUAAUUGUUGCAUAAAAACCACAAAUUUUUAUGGUGCCCACUGCUCAAUGCAAGAGGAGGACAGAGUCAAAGAAAAUCGGAUGGUGCUCAAGCAACUAUCUCGUAUUCGUACCAAGAAAAUACUGUUUUGGUUGAACAUGACGAGUAAACAUAGUAAUUUUGAUCAUGAAAAUCAGGACAAUUCAAAAAGAAAGAUCAAAAUGGCAUUAUUGUGCAACGGACGAACAAAAUGACCUUAGCUCCUUGAAAUCUGAAGCAAUGAAGAGCCUGACACGUCCGUGCUCACUGCUGAGCAUUGAACAGUCACCGGCAACGUGGACAAAAUAUUCCCGUCAUAAAACACUAUCCGCUGGGCAGCUGGCAACGCAAGCUUGGAUCAAUUCUGGCCUUGCUCUGUGAAGUGUCCCAACCUAUUCCUACUGCUCACGAUAGAAUGGACCUAGCCCAAAAGAUUCCUUAGCAUAAAAUAGAUUGGCAAAUUUUGAUUCUUAUUUUCAUUUUAUUCCAUAAAAUUCCAAUACAACAGUUGCACUUAAAUCGCUUGAAUUUGACUUAUAUAUAUGAGUUAUUAUUUUUUACAUAAAAAGAGAAGUAUACAAAUUUCACAAACUAGUUGUUUAUUCUUGUCACAUGUUUAUACUAAAAAAAGUACCUUAGCUAAAGAAGUUUUAUACUAAAAGAAAAGUGUACAGAGUGUGGUAAUUAAACUGUUCUGUCUUGUAUACGUUCCAAGCAAGAUUUCCCGUCAAGCUUGCUGCUCUGCUGAAGCUCCAAAUAAUCCUUAUAUUUCAUUGCUUUGUAUGCUGGUGGAUUGUUCUCAUGGUCCAGCAACUUCGAAGCUGGGGCAACAACUGCAUUGAGUGCUGGUCCAUGCGGCAUGGCUAUGGAUAUCCUUGUAUCUUUGUUGUUCACCACUGCUCGAUGUAGAACACUUUUGUACUUCCCAUUACUCAAAAUCUUGCGAAAAGUUAAUAUCAUAUUCGAAUAAGAACAAAAUAAACUAUUUCUAAGAAGAGGCAAAAACAAAACAAAAUGGGGAUGAGAACUUAGGACUUUAGGAGUGCACCUCAAUAUGAUCUCCAACGUUAGCUAGAAAUGAAUUGGGAAUUGGAUUGACAUUCAUCCAUUUCCCUUUGUGCUGCACUUGAAGGCCCCUGAUUUCAUUUUGUAUUAGAAGGGUCAAAAGACCGUGAUCCGAAUGAGGAGGCAACCCCAAUGCGAGCUCUGGCUGCGGACAUGGUGGGUAGAAGUUGGCUGUUAGGACUUGCAAGCCAUCUUCCAAAUUCAAGGCCUCGUCAAUAUAAUUCUCCUCUAAUCCCAAACUCUCGGAUAUUCCUCUUACUAUUAUUCUUGCUACUUGCCGGACUCUUUUGCUGAAUUCUAAAGCAAUUUCACUGUUUCCAAAAACAUUCAGACAAAACUUGUUUUAGCUAAGCUAUUGCAGCUGCAACGGCUAAGGAAACAGCACGAGCAUGAUUCCAAUUAUUUGAAAUGAGAUUCCAAAACAAUCCAUCAAUUCACGCAUCAGAAAGGAAAAUAAAAGGAUCAAAUAAAAAGUACUAAAAGAAUCCAGGGUAACAAAAUAAUAGUAGUCUAGAUGACCCACAGGGUUAUAUAGACAAGAUUACUAUUGUUUUGUUACCCAAUUGGCCGAUUCCUUGAAUUCCGUCUUCUGUGCAUACUCUAAUCCUAGGACUCAUUCUGAACCCUGUAUUAUCUGUAAGUUACCAAGCUAAUUGAGUUCAAAACCUGAAGGCAGCUGGCUUGUUGGGUGAGUGAAACUCAGGAUGCUGAAAGACCUUGAGAAAAUCCCUCCAGAAUAAAACUUUAUCCACUGAAACGUUGAAACUGGUACCACACCUAAUGGGGUCCAGCACAUGCUUCCCUUCAAAUUCUUGCUUCUCUUCCUCCGUUAGCUCAAAAAAUCCUCUACACGCCUCAAUUAUUGCCUUCAUCAUGCUCUCCGGCACCCCAUGAUUUAUCACCUGAGAUGCUCAAAGCUUAAAACUAAAACCAAAAAGAAAAAAAACAAAACAAAGCGCACUGAACAAAAGAUAAAAAAGGAGAGAAGAACUAGUGUACUAUAAUAUAUAUAUAUAUAUACCCACCAUGAAGAAGCCCCAGUCCUGACAAGCUUCUCCAAGCUCUUGGAGGACUUUAGAGCGUUCAUCAGGGUUAUUGGAAGUGAGAUGAGAGAAAUCAACGGUGGGGAUAGAUUCUUUUGCGUCUGAAAAUGGUUGAUCAUUAGCGUUUGUUGGGAACGUGUAAAUGGGAGGCAUGGAAGUAAGACCAGGCAAUUCAGCUAGUGAUUUGAUACUUGUUCGCUUUGGCAGUGCGUAAGUAAGAGAUGCUUGCGAGGGUAGGGAAAGGAACGGGGCACUAGCAGCCAUGGAGACCGACGGAGAUUGAGACUCCGAACACGGUGCUUGUAGGCGGAUUGCAAUGGAACAGGUCCGGAUACUUAUGUAUAUGUAUUUAUCUUUAAUUUUUGGCUGCUGCGAAAGCAAGAAAUCAUUAUUUUUUCAUUAUUUAUAUUUUAAUUUUCGAAAAUAAAUAAUAUGUUUCGGUAUAAAAAUUAUAUGGUUUUACUGCCAAAAUUGGUACUAUUAUAUUUUGAUAAUUUGAUCAAUUUUGAUUUUAUUUUUGUCAGUGACAUUUACUUUAUAAAAAUUUUUAAAGAAUAAAAAUUAAAUAAAAAAGUAAAAAUAAAGGAAAUUGGGCAAAAAAAAAAAAAAUCGAAGGAAGUUGCCUGACCUUAUAUGGUAUAUCAUUGCAGAAUCAUGGCAACAAGCUAAUAUUUUGAGCAUGGAAGCAGUCGCACCUUCAUGGGUUUUAUUCGAAAUCCGAGAGUGGCACAAACAUAUUCCAAGAUUUGUUAUGUACACACUAUGAAUAUCUGAUUAAAAAAAGAGACUUAAAAAAUUGAGAAACAUCUUCCUGUCCAUCAAGCAUUAAUAUUUUUCAAGGUCUUUUGUCUUCUUCUUUUCCCAUUUUGUGUGGCACCGCCACUCCUCAUUUGGUCUUUAUUUCUCUUUUGCGUUUCUUUACCCUUUUUUUUUUUUCACCUCAAGAGAACGGAAGAAAGAAAAGUCCCAAGUCCUGUUGACAGGAAAGCAUACGUGCUUUUGCAUCUCCUACUUCCUUGAUCUACGAACCCUUCGACCUUGUGGCAAGCGCUUAGGUAUGAAGGGAUAAAAAUGAAAACGCCACUUGGCUCUGCAAAGACGUGUGCAUUACAUACUGAUCAAAACAAACAGCAGCUAUAAAACUCCUGUGUUCGUUUCUUCAUUCAUCAGUUACCGUGAAAGUAUGCAAGUUCACCUGAUUUUAUAUUACGAAAGAGGCAAAUAGUUUAAAUUUUAAGAAUGCAUGGAUCCUACAUUUCAGAAAAUGGGUGUCAAAAACCCAUCACCAGUACCCAAAGUCGGCCAUAUCUCGGAACUGCAAAGUACAAGGCAAGGCUACAAGAUUUUCACGCGUGCUUAUGGUUUCUUCCUGAAUUCCAGCCUCCACGGAGGUGUUCUCACAAAUUUUCUUCCCUAGCCACAUUAAACUCCAAUAUAACUUUUCUCGUUUGUAGGGCUGCAGUUUUUCUGAAUCAGAAGCAAAUGUAAGUCAUGGGCUUUCUCAGUCAACCCAACUUCUGUAAAUGCACUCAAAAUCCUAU